UACGUAGGUGACAAGCGUUGUCCGGAUUUACUGGGCGUAAAGCGCACGUAGGUGGCGACGUAAGUCGGGUGUGAAAGCCCCGGGCUCAACCUGGGAAUUGCAUUCGAGACUGAAUAGCUAGGGUACGGUAGAGGGAAGCGGAAUUUCCGGUGUAGCGGUGAAAUGCGUAGAUAUCGGAAGGAACAUCAGUGGCGAAAGCGGCUUCCUGGACCAGUACCGACGUUCAGGCACGAAAGCGUGGGGAGCAAACAGGA
rnacentral:rRNA from 1 species